rnacentral:rRNA from 1 species
CGGGCGUGCCUAAUACAUGCAAGUCGAACGCAUUGUGGUUGAAAUGAUAUGAAGAACUUGUUCAGUAUUUGAUUUUCAACAUUGCAAUGAGUGGCGAACGGGUGAGUAACACGUGGGAAAACCUACCUCUUAGCAGGGGAUAACAUUUGGAAACAAUGCUAAUACCGUAUAAUAAUUAAAACCGCAUUGGUUUUAGUUUAAAAGAUGGUCUUGCUAUCACUAAGAGAUGGUCCCGCGGUGUAUUAGUUAGUUGGUGAGGUAAUGGCUCACCAAGACAAUGAUACAUAGCCGAGUUGAGAGACUGACCGGCCACAAUGGGACUGAGACACGGCCCAUACUCCUACGGGAGGCAGCAGUAGGGAAUCUUCCACAAUGGACGAAAGUCUGAUGGAGCAACGCCGCGUGUGUGAUGAAGGGUUUCGGCUCGUAAAACACUGUUGUAAGAGAAGAAUGACAUUGAGAGUAACUGUUCAAUGUGUGACGGUAUCUUACCAGAAAGGAACGGCUAAAUACGUG